rnacentral:lncRNA from 1 species
AAAGAGUCUUUGUUUUAUCCAGUAAAACAGCAUUCUUUUCUAAAUCAAGUUUAUUUUUCAAAAAUUAUAAUAUCGCAAAUAAUAAACGAUUUUAAUAUAAUCAAACAGAAUAAAAUAGUGUCAAAUACACUUACGUCCGAUACGUUACUUCUGUAAACCACGAGUACACACAUUUCCGCGGGAAUUUUUUAAGCACGAGUUUCACGAUUAACUUUUCAAUGGCUUUAUUGAAGUACGUUAGUCUAAAUUUA